rnacentral:rRNA from 1 species
UAUCAUGGCUCAGGAUGAACGCUGACAGAAUGCUUAACACAUGCAAGUCAACUUGAACUUCGGUUUGGGUGGCGGACGGGUGAGUAACGCGUAAAGAACUUGCCUCACAGAUAGGGACAACAUUUGGAAACGAAUGCUAAUACCUGAUAUUAUGAUUUUAGGGCAUCCUAAGAUUAUGAAAGCUAUAUGCGCUGUGAGAGAGCUUUGCGUCCCAUUAGCUAGUUGGAGAGG